UCGUCGCUGCUUUCCAGGCAGCUUGUUCGUUACUUCUCCUGGAAAGGGACGUGACUGCUGUGGAGUGUAGCUGUAGCAGCGUUACACUCCUGAUGCCAAGUUCUUUUUUUCCCCAGCGAAUGUCCUCGCGGUAUAUGCUUCAGGCCCUCCCAACAAUCUUCUCUGCACAAGAACGUUUCGGGAUGUCGACGACACACGAGGCGCGCGGAUUCGACGAACUUUCACUGCGGGGAACGCUGUUCCUACUUCAUCCAGACACUUGAGAGUUUUAACCGAAGUCAACAACAGGCCGCCUCGACCAUUGUCAACGAGUUCCAGAUCCAGCGUACCCAGCAACGUUUCGACCAAUACCUCUCUUUCCUCUCGUCUCGUUCGCAAGCGAACUUCUUUUUAUUUCUUUUUUUUUACGCGAGAAAGAUUAAGGUGCGAAUCCAGAUGAGAAUCAUGGCCAUUUUGGUACAGAAGCUAGAGCUUUCUAUCUACCCUCCAUUUUAUUAAUUCCAACUAUAAUAGCAAAUUUUCUCUCUGACAGAUUAUAGAUCUGCUAUGUGGUCCCUUCAGGGGAGUCAUUGCUGAUGUCAAAGGAAGGGCAGCCUGGUACAGACAUGAUUGGGUUGCAGGACUCCGUUCUGGCUUCAGGAUAUUGGCACCUACCAUGUAUAUCUUCUUUGCCUCUGCACUUCCUGUGAUUGCCUUUGGAGAGCAACUGAGCACGGCAACAAAUGGUAGACUCACAACAGUUGAAAUAUUGGCAUCUACGGCGAUAUGUGGCAUCAUACAUUCAAUUCUUGGAGGGCAGCCUUUGUUGAUUGUUGGAGUUGCCGAACCAACUAUUAUCAUGUACACUUAUCUCUACAACUUUGCCAAGAAGCAGCAAGGCCUGAGAGAGCAGCUAUAUUUGGCGUGGACCGGAUGGUAAUGACUGAAAUAGAAUAAAUCCGAACCUGUGUAAGCUUCAGAUAAACUGAACUCGAUAAUUACUGUCUGUAGGGUCUGCAUCUGGACUGCCAUUAUGCUGUUUCUUUUGGUAA